rnacentral:rRNA from 1 species
CCUACGGGGGGCAGCAGUGAGGAAUAUUGGUCAAUGGGCGCGAGCCUGAACCAGCCAAGUAGCGUGAAGGAUGACUGCCCUACGGGUUGUAAACUUCUUUUAUAAAGGAAUAAAGUGAGGCACGUGUGCCUUUUUGUAUGUACUAUAUGAAUAAGGAUCGGCUAACUCCGUACCAGCAGCCGCGGUAAUACGGAGGAUCCGAGCGUUAUCCGGAUUUAUUGGGUUUAAGGGGAGCGUAGAUGGGUUGUUAAGUCAGUUGUGAAAGUUUGCGGCCCAACCGUAAAAUUGCAAUUGAUACUGGCAGUCUUGAGUACAGUUGAGGUAAGCGGAAUUCGUGGUGUAGCGGUGAAAUGCUUAGAUAUCACGAAGAACUCCGAUUGCGAAGGCAGCUUACUAAACUGCCACUGACAUUGAGGCUCGAAAGUGUGGGUAGCAAACAGGAUUAGAUACCCUAGUAGUC